rnacentral:lncRNA from 1 species
UAAAUAAGAAAAAAAUCAAAUAUAUUGCAAUGAACCUCGAAAAACAAACAUUUCGUGUACAUUACAUUAACUAACAAAGCCAAAUACUUCAAGGUGCAUUCUAGCAAUAUAGUUUACAAGACUGAACAUAUUCAUUAAGUAUCAUGGCUAAUAAACAUCACAAUUGUCCAAUUGUCUUGAUCAAUAACUUCAAACAUAUGAAAUUGACUUCUCGCCACCAUUUUCAGAGCAUCGCCAAAAAGUUCCUACAUAUAUUCAAAGUGAACCUAAAUAUUAGAUAGAAACCAAUAGCAUGCUAGUGCACUCAAUUGAUGAAAUUUCGCCUAUAUCUUUUUUUAUACAAAUUGAAUGAUAAUGAAAAUCAUCAACUAGCUUGCUACCAGAAGGAAAAAAUAGCAAAAUCACGGUUAAUAUCAGUGGGUUAACCCACUGAGACAUGAACGGUAACCUAAUCCAACAUGGAAAUAAGACAUUCUAGCUUUUUUCUUAAAAGACAUAGCACUAUAGAUGUAAACUCAAGCACAAAAAGACAUAAAAAUGAGAAUAGUAAGAAAAGAUCACACUUCAUAUUAAAGGUAUUCAUAAGAAAACCUUGUACAGAGCAACGACUCAAAGACGUUAAUUUAAUCAACAAAUGUACAACAUUUGUAACCAACACCUUUGCAUCAGUACAGACUAUAGUGAGACGUGUGCACUUAGUUUUCAAUGAAAAUAGUAAAAGAUAAGUUUCGGAAAGAUGCAAUAUGUAUGAAAGUAGUAAGAAACAAUGUAAUUUGGUAAGAAGCAGCAAAAAUGGAUCCAAUAUGAAUGUAAUGAAUGACAACUGGAAAAUUAGAGCUUCUCGCUUACUACAGUAACAACUUAUAUAGUCAAUCUUCUUGUUCACUUUUAUGUGGAACUGGAAAGAACUCAGUGCAAGAUCAUAAUAUUGAUGCAUCAAUGUGUAUUCCAACAACAUAAAAAAGCAAGUAGAGAAAUAACUUUUGAUAUUCUUAGAUACAUUAUUUCAAAUACUCGCUUUCAAUAUAUUGCAAGUUUAUCAUGCAUUGACUGCAAAAGAAAGCAGCAUUGGGAAUUCAAAUUUGAAAAACUAGAUCUGUUUAAUUCCUUCCGUACGAAAUGCAUAUGAUAUGAUUCUAGAAUAAUUUAAAUUGAUUUACUUUAGGUAGCUUAACAAAUAAUGUAUUACCUAAGUUUCUAAACAACAAAAGUCUGUUGCUUUAAGUGAAUGAAAAAGUGUCAGAUUUGUCCGAGUACGUGUCGAUCUCACUCCUUCCCUGGAGACAAAAGGAAGAAUACAAAUCAUCAAGAUUAUAUCAAAAUAUUUUUGAAGUUGCUCCCAAUAAGACAUCAAGAUCUAGUAAGAAGAGAUACGAUAUAAUAAAAUAAUCAAAGAUAGUUUACUAUCUUACCAAUCUGGAUUCAGUGCAUAUGAUGGUUCAGACCCAAUAUAAAUAAUAAGAGCUGUGCACAUCUCAUUCAACUCUGCUAUCAGAUUAUCAAAAAACAACCAACUAUAAAGAACUGCUUCAAUAAACAAAAUGUAGUCAUCUCUGUAUAUUUUCUAAGGCACAUCAAUUCCAAAGAUAGCGACUAUCUUUUAAAGAUAUAUUAGGUACUCAAGGGAGGAACUGAAAGAAAUAGAGAAGAUGAAUAAAUUACAGAGAAAGAGAACUUCGGAUCCAGAAAGAUAUCCAAAAUUAAUAAAAUGAAUUUGAUAUCUUAAUGAAUCUAGAGUUCAUUGUUGAGAUAUAAAAUAAGAACACAGCCCCUAGAUGUUCUAAACAUGUAUAUGAUGCACGUGAUGCUUCUAUUUAUUAGAGAGGUUAAAAAAUACCACGUUAAUCUGGCGGGCAUUUGGAUAGCUUGAUUCUUUAACAAUAUUAUUUAUGAGCGAAUAGAAAAACUGGCAUUAUUGUCACUAAAUCUGAAAAUCUCAAACCUGAACCAGCUACAUAAAGACGUUGCUUUUCAAAUUUGAACCUUAGCAAUAGAUAUUUUAAGACGCAAUCUAGACUAAUAAAAGUUUUAGAAUAAUUAAUGACGCAGCAACUAUUGGUUUCAUGUGCAAUGACAUUGUUAGCAUCGGGAACCCGAGUAGUGCGGAAUAUAGCCAAACAACGGUAUAAUAGCAAUAACAAAGACAAUAGAAGUUGAUAACAACGACAACUAAAGUAGAUAAAGAAGACACAAAUUUAACGUGGUUCGGUCAAAGUGACCUACGUCCACAAGCGGAAAGGAACAAUUUACUAUAACAAUAAGAGUACAAAAGAGAGUACAAAAUUAGAGUAAACACUCUAAUUAAUCCCAAAUACCCUAAGAGAAUAACCUCACAAUAUCACUCCAAAGAAAGGGUUCACACAAGUGCUUCCCAACACUAACUCUCAUACAAAACACUCUUAAUAAAGGAAGAAAGAAAGAAACAAGAAUUGAAGACAAGUCUUGUUGGUGUGUCUAAAAUGAAUUAAUGGCCUUCCCUUUUAUAGGCAAAAAAAUCUUUACCUCUUAGGUGUAAAAGAAGAGAUACAACUUGUGCAAAUGAUGUCCAACACACAAUGCAAUAUUUUUGGGUCCCAAAGAAUAUAGCCAACAAAGUCUACACUUUGCAAAGAUACUUAUACUUAUGUGAGAUGGACUCCAUUUGACAAAAUAAUGGCCAUAUUACAAAUCUCCACCUUGGCCUAAUUUUGGAUGAUAUAGUAAAUUUGCCCCACCUUCUCCGCAAAAUCCCCAAUGGGCAUAUGUCAAAAUUUAAUGCCAUCAAAAUCAGACAAAUUGUCUGAUACCGAAACUGUAGUAGGGCCUAUAACAGUGGAUCUCAAUAAAGUAUACAACGAACCAAAUCUGUGUGCUUUCAUGAUCAAACGAGCACCUUGAAAAAUUUUCAAAACUCCACCUUUACCAGUGAAUUUGCACCCAAGGAAUUCUAAAGUGCCUAGAAAGAUGAGAUUUUUCUUCAACUCAGAAACAUAUCUAACAUCGGUGAGAGUUCUCACCACAUCAUCGUGCAUUUUGACCCGAAUUGUACCUUUGCCAAUAACGUUACAAGUAACAUUGUUACCCAAUUGGACAACUCCACCUACAACUGAAUCAUAUGUAGAAAACAAGUCCCCGCUAGGACACAUAUGAUAUGAACAACCGGAAUCUAAAAUCNNNNNNNNNNNNNNNNNNNNNNNNNGAAAUAUUAUCCUUUGCAUAAAGCAUAGUAUCUCUUAUAUGCUUAAAAGAUGAGGGUAGAGAACAAAGCAGUAACACGGCUUGAUCCUCAUCUUUAAUUUCAGCAUCUAUAUUACUCAAAUCCAUAAGAAUGGAAUCAAAGGUAUCAAGAUGAGAGAGAAUAGAGGUACCUUCACCCAUACGAAUUGUAUAAAGCUUCUGCUUCAGGUAAAGUUUAUUUUCUACCGUCCUCUUCAUAUAUAAGGUUUUUCAAUUUUUCCCACAUGCCUUUAGCUGUGGUUUCUACAGAAACUUCACGUAAAACCUCAUUUGAGAGAUUUAAAAUGAUACCUGAUUUUGCCUUUUUGUCUAUGAUGGCAAACUCCUCGUCCGUCAUUUUAUCCGGCUUCUUCUCCUUUCCUUGCAACGCCAAGUCUAAGCCAUACUGAAUUAGCAUAGCUUCCAUCUUUAAUUGCCAUAUUCCGAAAUUUGCACUUCGGUCAAAUUUCUCAACAUAGGUCUUUGUUAAAGUCAUUUUGGCUAUUGAAAACUAACCCGGUUAGAUCCGGCUCUGAUACCAAUUUGUUAGGAUCGGGAACUCGGGUAGUGCGGAAUAUAGCCAAACAACGGUAUAAUGGCAAUAACAAAGACAAUAGAAGUUGAUAACAACGACAAUUAAAGUAGAUAAAGAAGACACAAAUUUAAUAUGGUUCGGUCAAAGUGACCUACGUCCACAAGCGGAGAGGAGCAAUUUACUAUUACAAUAAGAGUACAAAAUUAGAGUAAACACUCUAAUUAAUCCCAAAUACCCUAAGAGAAUGACCUCACGAGAUCACUCCAAAGAAAGGGUUCACACAAAUGCUUCCCAACGCUAACUCUCAUACAAAACAAUCUUAAUAAAGGAAGAAAGGAAGAAAUAAGAAUUGAAGACAAGUCUUGUUGGUAUGUCUAAAAUGAACUAAUGGCCUUCCCUUUUAUAGGCAAAAAAGUCUUGACCUCUUAGGUGUAAAAGAAGAGAUACAACUUGUGCAAAUGAUGUCCAACACACAAUGCAAUAUUUUUGGGUCCCAAAGAAUAUUGUCAACAAAAUCUACACUUUGCAAAGAUACUUAUGCUUAUGUGAGAUGGACUCCAUUUGACAAAAUAAUGGCCAUAUUACAGACAUUGUCCUGCCCCUCACUCCAUCCUUGGAUGCUAUAAGAGUUCCUUUUAAUUCCUUGUCAAUAAGAAUUCAGUUAACGAAUUAUCUAAAUUAAGAUAAUUGUGUACUCAUCAUAGAGAGAAGUUAUCUAUUAAAUUACAAGUAUGUUACCUAUAGGAAUUCAGUUAACCAAUGAAAACUUAAGCCUCAACACUAAACUACCAUUUCUCUUUCUCGUUUUCACAUUUUCUAAGAUUUUGACUAAGCAUAUUACUAACACCAGUAAAAAUGUCAUUAAUUCAUCGAAUAGUUGAACAUAAUACAUAUCUAAAGCUUGAAUGAUUUAUUGCACGUCUCCUACCAACAGAGUCAUCAUAGAUGAUAUUUUCCCCAAUUCUCCACAUCUAAUUAAAGAGAAACUUUAGAGUCUAUCCACCAUUGGAACGAAAUGGAGCUAGUUAAACAUGAUAAAACACAACAGGUCUUUGACCAAAAUUUCAAAUUGAACAACUAAAAUUAACAAGCAGACCUUCAUUUUUAUAGAUCCAUACAACAACAACCAAAAAAAAAAAAAACUAGUGUAAUCCCACAAAUAGAGGUCCAGAGAGGAUAGUGUACGCGUCCUUAUAAAAAGAAGUUCCAAAUUUUAUAAAUUAGCAUUCUCUUUCUGUCAAGAAAUAAACUUUUUUUUUUUCUUUCUUUGCUUUUGAACAUUGUUGGCAUAGCUUAUAGUAUCAUAUAAUGAAUACAUAGAUAGGCAAAAAUUGACCCGAUGUUAAAAAAACUACUGUACCUGAGAGACAAAAAGGCUAGAGAGUGAUUUCAUACGUGCCUAAGAUUAAAAGGCUCAAAAAAAUAAGAAAAUCACAGAAAAAACUCAAUAACUCAUCUGAAGCAAAGCAAAACAUGGCUAGGAAGAACUCACCAUCACCGCAGCUUACUGAACAGCAAACUUCAAUGCUUGAUUUGUGCGCUUCGGUUUUAAGCCCUAACUCUUUGAUGGAGCCCUAACUCUAAUAAUUUUAUCAGCGAGCUAUCUUUAUUUGACAGAUUAAUUUGGGUUUGUCAAUAAUAACAUGCAACCACAUUUCAAACAAUGGUAGUAAGCCCUAACCCUUCAAGUGAGAAAUUUGCUUGAUAGAUCAAUUUGGGAUUCCUACAGGCGUGUGUUUUACAAAACUGCUAUGGGUGGAAUUCUUAUUUUUUAACUUUUAAGUUUUAAGAGGGAAUAGUUUGAGCCAAAAUUUUGUUUUAUGAUGCUGCUAUGGGUGGGAGAGGUUUUUUU